UACGUAGGGGGCAAGCGUUAUCCGGAUUUACUGGGUGUAAAGGGAGCGUAGACGGCAGGGCAAGUCUGGAGUGAAAGGCAGGGGCCCAACCCCUGGACUGCUCUGGAAACUGUCCGGCUGGAGUGCAGGAGAGGUAAGUGGAAUUCCUAGUGUAGCGGUGAAAUGCGUAGAUAUUAGGAGGAACACCAGUGGCGAAGGCGGCUUACUGGACUGUAACUGACGUUGAGGCUCGAAAGCGUGGGGAGCGAACAGG
rnacentral:rRNA from 1 species